CUCUGCUCACAGCACAAUGGGUCAAAUGUCUCUACGACUCCUCUUUCUGACCUCACUGAUCUGCUGCACAACAAACCAAGCUCGUCUGACUGUGAGUCCCAGCAGCUCUCAGCUGUUCUACGGAGACUUUGUGUCUCUGAGCUGUGAGAAGGACGACAGCUCUGCUGGAUGGACUCUGAGGAGAAACACAACCUUUGAAACCAGGACUCAGUGUGGA